CUAUAAAUAAAAGGUUAAGCCGCAAAGGUACAUAGGUGGAAAAAGUUGUACUAAAUUCUUAUACUCAAUUGUGAGAAAAAGCUCAUUGAGCAACACUUAACUUGAAUGUCGGAGUAUCUUUUGCAGGUGUUCCCCCUCUCGGUCCAGACUUGAAGAGCUUGGAACAAGAGGUUCAGAAGAUAGGAAGGUUACAGUAGUAAGAUUAGUCUCUCAGCCCAACACAAAUAUAUACUGAAACAUUUUGGCGCCCAUCGUGGAGCUGAGAGAAGCAGAAGAAAUCC
rnacentral:lncRNA from 1 species